rnacentral:rRNA from 1 species
AUUGAACGCUGGCGGCAAGCUUAACACAUGCAAGUCGGGCGGGGGAAGGUAGCUUGCUACCGGACCUAGCGGCGGACGGGUGAGUAAUGCUUAGGAAUCUGCCUAUUAGUGGGGGACAACAUCUCGAAAGGGAUGCUAAUACCGCAUACGUCCUACGGGAGAAAGCAGGGGAUCUUCGGACCUUGCGCUAAUAGAUGAGCCUAAGUCGGAUUAGCUAGUUGGUGGGGUAAAGGCCUACCAAGGCGACGAUCUGUAGCGGGUCUGAGAGGAUGAUCCGCCACACUGGGACUGAGACACGGCCCAGACUCCUACGGGAGGCAGCAGUGGGGAAUAUUGGACAAUGGGGGGAACCCUGAUCCAGCCAUGCCGCAUGUGUGAAGAAGGCCUUAUGGUUGUAAAGCACUUUAAGCGAGGAGGAGGCUACUUUAGUUAAUACCUAGAGAUAGUGGACGUUACUCGCAGAAUAAGCACCGGCUAACUCUGUGCCAGCCGCCGCCGUAA